GCCGGGCGUGGUGAUGCAUGCCUGUAGUCCCAGCUACUCAGGAGGCCGAGGUGGGGGGAUUGCUUGAGCCUUGGAGUUUGACACCAGCCUGGGCAACAUGGUGAGACCCCAUCUCUU
ensembl:misc_RNA Metazoa_SRP Metazoan signal recognition particle RNA